AUAUUUGUGUGUUGGUCUCAUCAGGUUCCUUCUCUCCUAGGACUGGUCCUGUUUGCUCCAUCUUAACACUGUUGGUUAACAGUGGACUCUGACUUUCAUGAGGAUGACUGGACAUCCACUGGGACGCCAGGAGGCUGCCCUUCCCUGCUUUGACUUUGUUCUGUCAGACUUGAUAAGAUUUUGACUUCCAGUUAAAACCUGCCAUCGGGUGUUCAGCAGGAGAGUGAGGGAGCGUCAAGCACACUGUAUCAGCAUCAGAGGCUGAGCCUGCCAGCAGAGCUGACUCUGAUGGACAAGUCCUUCCUAGGGCUCCUGAUGCAGCUGCUAUCUGCAGACCUCCUGGACUGCCCGGGGAAGGGAGUGGGAGCUCCUGCCACAGAUGGGUGGAACAUCGACAAGAAGGGCUAAAGGUGGCCAAAAAUAACAGUGCCUUCCAGAUGAGGUGACCUCAGAGCCAAGAGCAUCAUGGGGUAGAGUAUCUUGUUCCCAGUUUUAUGACCUAAAAAGUACACAGAAGAUGCAAAGAUACUACAGAGAGAAGGAACAAAGUCUGCAGAGAACAGGGAAAGGCGAUUACGUAUCAUAUUUUUUUAAAUAGGAUUUUGUUGUACAUGACCACAAAAGAAAACACAGCCUUUUAUACAUGUUUGAAGAGAGAGCUAGAGCUAUAGAUAAAUGAUAGAUUAAUAUAUAGAUGGUCAAUAGAUAGAUGAUCAAUAGAUAGAUAAGUAGGUAGGUAGAUGAAUAGAUGAUAGACAGAACCAAACACAAUAGAAGUCCAAAAGGAGAAAAAGAUAGAGAUGAUAUUGCCUUCCUUUGUUUGCUAUUGAAACAAACUUAAUAAAUC
rnacentral:lncRNA from 1 species